GCAAGUCGAGCGGAGUUAUUUAGAAGCUUGCUUUUGAAUAACUUAGCGGCGGACGGGUGAGUAACGUGUGGGUAACCUGCCUUAUACUGUGGAAUAAUCACUGGAAACGGUGACUAAUACCGCAUGUCAUCUUUUUACUGCAUGGUAGAAAGAGAAAAGGAUUUAUUCGGUAUAAGAUGGACCCGCAUCUGAUUAGCUAGUUGGUGAGAUAACAGCUCACUAAGGCAACGAUCAGUAGCCGACCUGAGAGGAUAGUC
rnacentral:rRNA from 1 species